CAGCUUGUCAUGCUAGAGCACUUUUUCAAUGGGCUCCCCAACGACAAGGCGACGACGCAUUCGUAUGUCAUCCAUAUCAACUUUCGAUGCCACUUUCUGCACCUACCAUGGUGACCACGGGUAACGGGGACUCAGGGUUCGAUUCCAGAGAGGGAGCCUGAGAAACGGCUACCACAUGCAAGGAAGGCAGCAGGCGCGCAAAUGACCCAUUCCCGACGCGGGAAGGUAGUGA